AGCUCCAAAAGCGUAUAUUAAGAUUGUUGCGGUUAAACAGCUCGUAGUUGGAUUUCUGCUGAAGACGACCGGUCCGCCCUCUGGGUGAGUAUCUGGCUUGGCCUUGGCAUCUUCUUGGAGAACGUAGCUGCACUUGACUGUGUGGUGCGGCAUCCAGGACUUUUACUUUGAGGAAAUUAGAACGUUUCGAGCAGGCACACGCCUUGAAUACAUCAGAAUGGAAUAGCAAGAUCGGACCUUGGUUCUAUUUUGUUGGUUUCUAUUAACAGGGAUAGUUGGGGGCAUUCGUAUUUAACUGUCAGAAGCGAAAUUCUUGGAUUUGCUAAAGGACGGACUACUGCGAAAGCAUUUGCCAAGGAUGUUUUCA
rnacentral:rRNA from 1 species